CCUACGGGAGGCAGCAGUCGAGAAUCAUUCACAAUGGGGGAAACCCUGAUGGUGCGACGCCGCGUGGGGGAAUGAAGGUCUUCGGAUUGUAAACCCCUGUCAUGUGGGAGCAAAUUAAAAAGAUAGUACCACAAGAGGAAGAGACGGCUAACUCUGUGCCAGCAGCCGCGGUAAUACAGAGGUCUCAAGCGUUGUUCGGAAUCACUGGGCGUAAAGCGUGCGUAGGCUGUUUCGUAAGUCGUGUGUGAAAGGUGCGGGCUCAACCCGCGGACGGCACAUGAUACUGCGAGACUAGAGUAAUGGAGGGGGAACCGGAAUUCUCGGUGUAGCAGUGAAAUGCGUAGAGAUCGAGAGGAACACUCGUGGCGAAGGCGGGUUCCUGGACAUUAACUGACGCUGAGGCACGAAGGCCAGGGGAGCGAAAGGGAUUAGAUACCCCAGUAGUC
rnacentral:rRNA from 1 species